rnacentral:sRNA from 1 species
UGUCUCUGUGAUUUCCAGAGGAUGAGAACCUCCGAAGGAGGUUUGCGCCGAGCGCAGCGAGACAACGUUGCUUCAGCAACGGCCCGCAGGGGAAUCAUCCUCUCUCGCCGACCA